UACGGGGGGAGCAAGCGUUGUUCGGAUUUACUGGGCGUAAAGGGCGCGUAGGCGGCCAGCACAAGUCAGUUGUGAAAUCUCCGAGCUUAACUCGGAAAGGUCAACUGAUACUGUGCGGCUAGAGUGCGGAAGGGGCAACUGGAAUUCUUGGUGUAGCGGUGAAAUGCGUAGAUAUCAAGAGGAACACCUGCGGCGAAGGCGGGUUGCUGGGCCGACACUGACGCUGAGGCGCGAAAGCGUGGGGAGCAAACAGG
rnacentral:rRNA from 1 species